rnacentral:rRNA from 1 species
UACGGAGGAUCCGAGCGUUAUCCGGAUUUAUUGGGUUUAAAGGGUGCGUAGGCGGCCUGGUAAGUCAGGGGUGAAAGACGGUAGCUUAACUAUCGCAGUGCCCUUGAUACUGCUGGGCUUGAAUGUAGUUGAGGUAGGCGGAAUGUGACAAGUAGCGGUGAAAUGCAUAGAUAUGUCACAGAACACCAAUUGCGAAGGCAGCUUACUAAAAGUAUGAUUGACGCUGAGGCACGAAAGCGUGGGGAUCAAACAGG